UAUUCCUUCUAUUUCACUUGA
ensembl:piRNA 21ur-3510 ncRNA